AUUCCAGCUCCAAGAGCGUAUAUUCAAUUUGCUGCAGUUAAAAAGCUCGUAGUUGGGUGAGGGGGAGCGAUGUUGGAAGGUUAGAUAGGAAACUAUUUAAUUGACUACAGCUUCUCAUUUUUGAAGAGAUCGUUAAUAGAUGUUCUUAACUGAAUGUUUAUUAUACACUCUUCCGUUGACCGUGCUUAAAUUCGCGUGUUCAAAGCAAGUAAUUUUCAUCGCUUGUAGAGUCUAGCAUGGGAUCAUAAAAUAUGAAAGGAUGGAUAGUUUUAUUCUCUUUAUCUAUCCUUUAAUGACAAAUAGGGGCAAGCGGGGGUGGAGGGAUUCCGUUGUUAGAGGUGAAAUUCUUAGACCAACGGAGGACCAACAGAAGCCAAAGCGUCCAUCAAGGGUGUGCCCAUUGAUCAAGAACGAAAGUUAGGGGAUCAAAUACGAUCAGACACCGUAGUAGUCCUAACCAUAAACGAUACCGACCGGGCAUGGAAUGAGAUUAAAUAACUCAUAUCUAUUCUAUACCCUUGGAGAAAUCUUUGAGUGUUUGGGUUCCGGGGGGAGUACGGUCGCAAGGCUGAAACUUAAAGGAAUUGACGGAAAGGCAAACAAGAAGUGGAACCUGCGGCUUCCAAUUCGACCCAACACGGGAAAACUUACCAGGUCCAGACAUGGGAAGGAUGGACAGAUUGAUAGAUCUUUCUUGAUUCUAUGAGUGGUGGUGCAUGGCCGUUCUUAGUUGGUGGAGUGAUUUGUCUGGUUGAUUCCGAUAACGAACGAGAUCACGAGAGAAUUGUUGAGGGGGGAUGAAAGGGAGAGAGAAAGGUGAAGGGAGAGAGGGAUAAUUGUAAUGGUUAUUCUUGCUCUUUUGAAUCCUUUUUCCUUUUGUCCACUCACCAACUCCGACCGGAGGGUUUCAACCCUCAGGAAGGUCGUGGCAAUAACAGGUCUGUGAUGCCCUUAGAUGUUCUGGGCUGCACGCGCGUUACACUGAAAGAGACAAAGAGUAUAUAUAUUUUAUGCUUAACUGAAAGGUCUGGCUAAUCUAAAUGAAUCUCUUUCGUGAUGGGGAUAGAUGUUUGUAAUUAUGCAUCUUGAACGAGGAAUUCCUAGUAAACGUAGUUUAACAAACUGCGUUGAUUUCGUCCCUGCCCUUUGUACACACCGCCCGUCGCUCCUACCGAUUGAAUGAAAAGGUGAAAAGAAGGGAGUGAGAUAAGGUCAUUUGUAACUUUAUUUUAUGAACAUCGU
rnacentral:rRNA from 1 species